GAGGGUAUAGCUCAGUGGUAGAGUGCCUGACAGCAGGCAGAAGGACCUGGGUUCAAACCCCAGCACCUCCA
rnacentral:tRNA from 1 species